UUUAUGUUUACAUAACCAUUUACGUUAUUUCUGCAGGAUUACUUAUGCUUUGUUUUGUUAUUUUGUUUUGUUUUGCCUUGGUUACUAAUUUUGUCUUUGUUUUCCAAUGCAGCUUUUCAUUCUGUCCAAUGCGCCGAGGGUCGCAUGGAAGCAGCCUCUCUGCCCUUUUGGGUAGGGGUAAGACUGCCUACAUAUUCCCCUCCCCAGACCCCUCCUGGUGGGAGUAUACUGGGUAGUUGUUGUUGUUGUUGUUGU
rnacentral:lncRNA from 1 species